rnacentral:rRNA from 1 species
CCUACGGGCGGCAGCAGUGGGGGAUAUUGCACAAUGGGGGGAACCCUGAUGCAGCGACGCCGCGUGGGUGAAGGAGCGUUUCGGCGCGUAAAGCCCUAUCGGCAGGGAAGAAGGAGGACGGUACCUGACGAAGAAGCCCCGGCUAACUACGUGCCAGCAGCCGCGGUAAUACGUAGGGGGCAAGCGUUAUCCGGAUAUACUGGGUGUAAAGGGGGCGCAGACGGCAGCGCAAGCCAGUAGUGAAAGCCCGGGGCCCAACCCCGGGACUGCUCUUGAAACUGCGCGGCUGGAGUGCAGGAGGGGCAGGCGGAAUUCCGGGUGUAGCGGUGAAAUGCGUAGAUAUCAGGAGGAACACCGGUGGCGAAGGCGGCCUGCUGGACUGCGACUGACGUUGAGGCCCGAAAGCGUGGGGAGCAAACAGGAUUAGAUACCCUUGUAGUC